AGUAAGACCUAUGUGCAUAUUUUUCAGACUUGACAGAAUUUCAGGUGACGACUUCAGGAAAGCAGAGGAGUUCGUAAAAUUGAUGAAAAUCAUGUACCAGUCAACUGUUUGCAUCUCUUCCGGAAACAACGCCACACUAGGUCAAAUUAUUCCAAUCAUAAAAAAACUUCAAGAUCACUUCAGGGUCACAGCAGACGACUCUUUCUUCUCUAAUGCCAUAAAGGAAAAAGUCUGGGAUGACCUUUCCAAAAGAUACCAAGUAAGCAUCACUAUUUUAUUGAUUUGUUGAUUAUUUUCAUUCGGUAUACAGAAACCUCUACGUAUACUGUGGUGCGCCGCAGCAGUGGCAGCCGUUGCAGUAGCUCAUCUGUUACAUGUCCCUUGAAUUUCCCUCAGGAUUAAUGAAGUAUCUACCCUAUAUCAAUCUAUCUAUCUAUGUUCUUCUCUCACAGGGUGAGGGCAUUCAGGAGUUUUUGGAGGAGGGCACGGCUCUGGACCCUAGGUUCAAGGGAAAGGUAGAGGAUGCUGUGUGGUACAGACUGGAGGAGGAGUUAAUCGAUCGAGCCUCACACCAGAACAGAGGUGAAACUGCCCAGGCCCACCAGCAGGUGGACGAUGGGGACAGCUCAUGCGAUGAAGCCAGUUCAGCUGCAACAGAGAAACUGACAAAGCUGUCUGCGCUGGAGGAGUUGUUCAUGGAUGAGGACAUAGAGGUGGGAGAGCGGAAUUACCCAAUUGCGAGCCAAAGGGAUAAGGUGAAAGAAGAAAUCCGCCACUACAGAGGUUUGCCAUCAACUUUGUCAACUGUUGAUCCAGUGACCUGGUGGUGGGACAUGAGGGGCACCCUACCAGCACUAUCAAGCUUGGCUGCAAGGUACCUCUGUGUUCAGGCGUCAGCGACACCAUCAGAGCGCACCUUUUCAACAGCUGGCGACACAAUCAGCCAGGAGCGGGCCUGUCUGUUGCCAGACAAGGCAGACAUGCUGAUCUUUCUAAAAAAAAACUGUUGAGUGACUGUUGUCAUGCAAUUUGGACUCUUUGGACAUUUGUUUGCAUCAGUUUUUCUCUUUGUUAUUAUUAUUGCAUUGUUAUUUAUUCAUUCCUUAUUAUAACUGAGUGCCCUCGACUAGGCCCCCAUGCCUAGAUCUCUGUGUAUUUAUGUAUGUGUGUAUUUAUGCAUGUGCUCUCUCUCUCUCUCUCUCUCGCUCUCUCGCUCUCUCUCAGUUCUGAAAAAUAAAUUCUAUAAUUCCUAAUUUGUUUUUGUUGUGGAAAUUGAUUUUUAAAACAUCAGGUAUCGAAAAAAGUAUCGUAUCGAACCGGUAUCGAAACCAAGGUAUCGAAAUUAGCACCGUAUCGAAAUAUUUUGAACGAUACCCACCCCUAUCCC
rnacentral:lncRNA from 1 species